rnacentral:rRNA from 1 species
UGGGGAAUAUUGCACAAUGGGCGAAAGCCUGAUGCAGCAACGCCGCGUGAGGGACGACGGCCUUCGGGUUGUAAACCUCUUUUAGCAGGGAAGAAGCGAAAGUGACGGUACCUGCAGAAAAAGCACCGGCUAACUACGUGCCAGCAGCCGCGGUAAUACGUAGGGUGCAAGCGUUGUCCGGAAUUAUUGGGCGUAAAGAGCUCGUAGGCGGUUUGUCGCGUCUGCUGUGAAAAUCCGAGGCUCAACCUCGGACCUGCAGUGGGUACGGGCAAAACUAGAGUGCGGUAGGGGAGAUUGGAAUUCCUGGUGUAGCGGUGGAAUGCGCAGAUAUCAGGAGGAACACCAAUGGC